UUCCGAUCUAACGAGACCUUAACCUGCUAAAUAGCCAGGCUGGCUUUGGCUAGUCGCCGGCUUCUUAGAGGGACUGUCAGCGUCUAGCUGACGGAAGUUUGAGGCAAUAACAGGUCUGUGAUGC
rnacentral:rRNA from 1 species